rnacentral:lncRNA from 1 species
CCGUGGCAAGUGUCCAGGAAGUGCUGGUGUCCUCAUGCUUCAGUCUCGGCCUCUGAGAAGUGUGUGGACAUUCCUGGCUCACAGUGGCUUGCCAACCGAACUUGCAGCAUUUUAUUAAAACCAAAUGCAGUUGCUGGUGGUGCAUGUGGCUGCAGCCCCUGGACCCUACCCCUGCAGGGGGCCGCGUUCCUGCUGUCUGGAGGCCUAGGUCAGCUCCUCUCACCUCUGCCUUCUCAGCUGCCUUUCCCUGAAGUGUCUGGAUCUCCCUGCCACCCAGCACCUCUAAGGGGCCUCCAGGGCCCUGUGCCAGCCCAGCCCCCUGCUGCUGUGACCUGCUGUCAUUGCUGCGAGCAUCUCACUGGAGACCUUCCCCUGGAACUGAGCCAAAGCCAGCCUGGCUGCUGGGAGCUCCUGAAACCCCUGUCCUCUGCGCGUUGGAUCGGCCCUGCUCUGGAACCUGAGCCACCGAGGGCCCAUGUGGAGUUUGCUCCAUGUGGACAGGACAGGCCACUAGUGGGAGGAGGAGAGGCGCUGGCAUUCCAGCCCUGCUUCCUCACCCUGGAGAUUGGCACUCCCCUUGCUGUCACUUUCCUCUGCUGGCUGGGCCUGUUAUCAACCUGACUGCUGGUGUCUCUGUUCCAUCAAGUCCAAAACCAAGCCUGCCCAAGUCCCACCCCUGCUGACACCCUCCUGGUGCCUCACCAGCUCCAGGUCCACAGGCCCCUGCAGCUGUCCUCCUCCUGAAAGCUCCAGCCCCACCACGGCUCCCUUCUCUAGACCUUCCCCUCCCUGGAACAGCUCCCCUGGGAGGCCCACCUCUCCCUCCUUGCCCAGGUGCCUGCAUUCUCUCCGAGCCCUGAGCCUGGAGGCCACCUCUCCUGCCUUGGCCACAUGGGAAGGUGCAGGCUGUGCCUGUGCAUAGGGGGUGAGUGUGCUGAGCACCUGUUCUCUAGUGGCCCCUUCAUAGCUCACGGCUCCACAUUUCUCACACCUCGGCUGAAAAUCCUUCACAGUUUCCCUCCUGCCUCACCUUUCUGGGGCUCCUCAUCACAUCUCCUGCCUAUAUUGAGCCUUGCAGAAACCUCACCUCGUACCCCAGCCCCAACCCACACCCAUGGCUGGUGUUCAACCUCCUUCUCCCCAGCCCAGCCCUGAGGACCACACAGCUCCACCCACAACACUGAGAAUUCCUCCUGGGC